UUACGGUCAAAUCACGCUGAAACACCGGUUCUCGUUUGAUCACCGAAGUUAAGCCUCAUAGAGCCAGGUCAGUACUUAGAUGGGGGACCGCUUGGGAACACCUGGUACUGUAAG
rnacentral:rRNA from 1 species